rnacentral:rRNA from 1 species
UACAGAGGGGGCAAGCGUUGUUCGGAAUUACUGGGCGUAAAGGGCGCGUAGGCGGCCCGCUAAGUCGAACGUGAAAUCCCUGGGCUCAACCCAGGAACUGCGUCCGAUACUGGCAGGCUUGAAUCCGGGAGAGGGAUGCGGAAUUCCAGGUGUAGCGGUGAAAUGCGUAGAUAUCUGGAGGAACACCGGUGGCGAAGGCGGCAUCCUGGACCAACACUGACACUGAAGAGCGAAAGCCAGGGGAGCAAACGGG